ensembl:lncRNA
GUGUUUAGGGGUGCUCCAGCCCUGAAGGUGUCAAGGCCAGGCUGGAUGGCGCCCUGGGCAGCCUGAUCUGAGGGGGGGCUUUAAGACCCCUUCUGACCUAAGCCAUUCUAUGAUUCUCUGAUUCUAUUCCAGCUUCCUGUGAGCCAGAAGCAGGAUAAAUGAUAGUCUCUGUCUUCAGUUAUUAGGGUUUCAAGGGAAGAAGUCUCUUUGGACCUUCAGCGUCUCUGAGUGUGACACAGUUAACAAGUAUUCCUAAAAGCUCUGAAUCACAGACAGAUGUCUGGACCUGUGCUGGCUAGAGGCUAAUCACUUUCUGAACUGGAAUAAACCCUAAACUAGCAAACACAAGUCCUGGUGAAACAGCAGGGCUGCAGCAUCAUCCCCCUUCAUUUCCCUUUUUCCCUUGGCUGCAGAGCUCUCAUUGCAGCAGCCUGACUUCAAACACUGACAAAUGUCACUGCUGACACUGCUAUGGAGGGUGCACACCAUCAUUAUAAUCUGUAUGCAUUUAGCCAUCCCAGCAUGAUAAGAGAAUGAUUAGGAGAAUAGUUAGAGAGUAAAUUAAAAACUCCCAGCAGUUUUCUGUGUGAACCUACUAACUUACAGGCAUAUUUUUUUCACAGCAUUACUGAAAAAUGCCAUUAGUUAUACCUGUGACUACAUGUUAGAUUUAAACCCCUGGUGAGAAUUUUUAUUAAUAUACAAAUAUGUUAGGGCUCUUAUGCUGCUUAAAAUGUAAUUAACCAUCUUCUGAAGAUUAAGAGUACAUAAUCAUAAAAGAACUGCACUCUUGUGCAUUUAAUUCUUCUAAUCUGCUUUAUGUUGAUGUUAGUGUGGAAGAAUAAUUGCUAGUUUGCCUUAAUAGUUUGGGUUUCUGCUAUAGGAAGAAAUUGUUAGUGAAUGUAUUUCUAAACUUCAGAUUUGGUGUGCUUGCACCGAUGAAAGACGAUAAAGUGCAAACUGAGAAUAGGAAAACUUGCUGCUUUUAUCCUGCUGCUGCAAAUGCCCAGCAGUGGCAAAGCUGUAUUUCAGCUUCGAAAAAGAGAACAGGAUGAGCAUAUCCAGUGAAUGACAAAGGUAUGAGCAAUAAACUCCAAGUAAUCUCUUUAAGCACUAAUUUAAACACAUAAGGUGUCAACCAAGCCAUGGGGGGAUCCAACAAGGCUUUUCAAGAAGGCUGUGGGAGCUGAGCUCAUCACUCAUUACAGAACAUAGUAUUGGAAUUGUCCAUCCUUCCAGGACUGCCACAAUCUUCAUACAAUGGCCAUCACGUUUAACUGAAAAGAGGUUAAAACCCUCAGAGAUGCAGACUGCCGCUCUUUAGGGGUAUUUCCUUCCUGGCAACAUGAUCGAUAAACCAUUAGGUAACUCUGAUGACUGUGCAAAAAUCAGCCUUUUUCCUCCUCCUCUCUCCCAGCGUUGCUUCCUGAAUGCUAAGAAGAGGUUAAGGAAGAGCACUGAAUGCUGCGGGUUGCCACCACUGUGCAGUGUGGGCAGUCAGUUCACAGGGGAGCCUAUGGGGCAGGAACACCCAUGGAAAACGUGGACAAAAAAAGCCCACAGUGCUCCUGCUGUGAUGAAGGGGAUGGAGACUGGCUGUUGCUCCUUGAAGACCACCAGAGCAGGGAGCUUCCUCCUCGCUUGAAGCGUCUAAGAGCUCUGCAAGGCGCUGGGAGAAAACCAGCCUCCAUCACCAACUUCAGGGGUUGGAAAAUAAUUGGAAAAGAAUCCCCCAUGUAUUUUUUCUUCUAUGACUCAUGAAUUUCAGUGGGGUCCCUCAGCGCACAUCUCUCCAUGGGGUCACAGUGCCUUGUGGCAGGCAGCUGUGUCCAGUCGGGACCCAGUUCUAGGGGAGAGCGGUGACAGUGUGACCGCAGGGAGCAGCGGUAUGCAGCCCGAGAAGGGCUCCUCGGCUGCUUUCUGCUUGUUUUCAUUACUUCCAAAUGAAUGCACAGCCUUUAUUGAAAGUCGCUUGUUUUCAGUGCAGCUUCCUUUUGAGGCAGGUGUGACAGUCAGCAUUGCUCUGGGCCUUACACCAUGCUCAGUUCUCCAGGCUUCCGGCUGCAGCUCCUCAAGUCAAAACCCACACAGACAACAUAGAUGUUCCUGUGGGCUUUCUAUGUCCGGCGAGGGUCAGCUGUGGGUUAGGGAAAGGCUGUGCCCCAGAGGGCAGUGGGCAUGGAACAGCCUGCCCAGGGCAGUGGGCAUGGCCCCAGUGCUGAGGCUCAGGGAGUGCUGGGAUGCCGCUCUCAGACAUAGGGUACGUGGGGCUGAAGGGCCCUGCCAGCCCACAGCAGGCCACGGCCCUGUGCCCGCUGUGGCUUGACUCAAAGCAUUCCAGAGAGGAAUAAAUACAGGUUAAGUACUAAAAUCCUACUGAAACCGUGCAGGAGCUGAGUGCUCAGUUCCCUCAAGAUUUUUUAGGCAGGUGGAAUAUAUCUAUCUAAGCCAAGGAAAAGGACACCAGGCUUCCAACCCUAGCUCUGCUUAAGGUCUGUUACUGCAAAUAACCUUGUACAAAGUGGAGUAGAUAACCUGAUUAAUUCUGCUUGCCAUUCAAGCUUGCAUUAAAUAAGACGUGUAACUUCAGACAGAAAGCCAGCCAUUCUUCUGUUCUAACAGUCUGCUGUCAACGCAGGACAAUAAAAUAUGAAUAUUUUAGAUUCAUAGUGCAGACAAAUAGGAAAUAGGAGCUGUAUUGUGCUUCACAUGCACGGCUAGCUCAGUAAUGCUAACGUGAUUAUCUCAUUGAACUUUUGUGCCAUCGCUUAAGGGCAGCUUUGUCUUGCUUAGCUGGGAUGUACAUAUUUGUUUCUUCCAUGCAUAGCUCCAUAGUCUUUUUUAAGCUUGUGGAAAUGGGAAAAUCUGAUUUUCCUCCUCAGCCACAAGGUAGCAUCAUUCCUUGGCAUUGCUUGGACCAGUACGUCUUAAGUGCAAUUUUUACAGGUUCCUACCAAAAUAUUUUAAUGUCUGCAGCUAGAUUUCCAGACAGAAACAUGGGAAAAUCACACCAGAAUUUAAAAUAUGAAUUAUAGCGUGGUUCACUCUCUGUAACAGAGAGACAAGGAGGGUAAUCAAAACAUGAAAUAUUCUGAUUCAUUCCUCUCCCUAAGCAGAAAAAAAAUGUUUUCAGGAUUAGUGGGGGUUUGGUCUAGAUGGGCUGCCAUUUGGUUAUUCAGCUGUGAGAUUCAUUACCUGGGCAGGCUGGCUUUGCCAGCCCUGAGAUCACAGCAAUAGCAUGCACCUGACGUGGGGUGGCAAAAAAAGCUGGGUGAAUUCAACUCUAAUGAAAACAUCUUGCCACACUGACCCAAAAAACCAUCAAUCUGAGUACUCAGUUCCCUUUUUAAUAUCUAAAUCCUUUUAUUUUCUCUGUGCUGGAUUUGUUUUAUAUUUCCCUUUUAAGUUAGCACUUUGUGUGGGGGUGGAUGUUACGAAGACCAGUUUUGAUGGAAAGUAGAUUGAGCCUUGAAGACUUUCAUCACUGCAUUAUAGCUCUGCUCCCUCCACCCCUCACUGAUAUCCCUCCAUUUACAUGAGUAUUGGACAGGACUUAGGAAUCAGCCCUGACUUGGCCAGUUUUAUUGGGUUUAUGUGGCAAUGUUUUGGUAGCAGGAGGCUGCAGGUGUGGCUUGUGUGAAUAGGCCAAGACCUGCCCCAUCUUAAAUCAAAGCCAGUUCCAACCAGCUCUAAAGGUGACCGACUGCUGCCCACAGCUGAGCCAAUCGGUGAUGCUGGUGGCACCUCAGCGAUAACACACUUAAGAAAGGGUAAAAUACAUUCUGCAGCAGUUGUGAGAGAGAGGAAUGAGAAAAUGUGAGAGAAAACUCUGCAGACACCAAGGUUAGGGAAGAAGGAGGGGGAAGAGGUUCUCUAGGCACCGGAGCACGCAUUUCUUGACAGCCCAUGAAGAGGACCAUGGUGAUGGAAGCAGACCAUGGAGGAACCCAUGCCACAGCAGGUGGAUAUCCUGAAGGAAGCUGAAGCCAGCCAACACAGGAGCAGGCUGGAGCUGUAUCCAUGCAGAAGGGACCAUGCUGGAGCAGUCUCCUGUUUAUGGAUGGUACCUUGCACAGAGGACCCGUGCUGUAGCAGUUCUUGAAGGAUUGCUUCCCAUGGGAAGGACCCCAUUCUGGAGCAGGGGAAGAGUGUGAGGAGGAAGGAGUGACAGAUGUGGAC